rnacentral:rRNA from 1 species
CCUACGGGGUGCAGCAGUGGGGAAUAUUGGACAAUGGGCGAAAGCCUGAUCCAGCCAUGCCGCGUGUGUGAAGAAGGCCUUCGGGUUGUAAAGCACUUUCAGUGGGGAAGAAAGCCUUGGGGCUAAUACCCUCGAGGAAGGACAUCACCCACAGAAGAAGCACCGGCUAACUCCGUGCCAGCAGCCGCGGUAAUACGGAGGGUGCGAGCGUUAAUCGGAAUUACUGGGCGUAAAGCGCGCGUAGGCGGUCUGAUAAGCCGGUUGUGAAAGCCCCGGGCUCAACCUGGGAACGGCAUCCGGAACUGUCAGGCUAGAGUGCAGGAGAGGAAGGUAGAAUUCCCGGUGUAGCGGUGAAAUGCGUAGAGAUCGGGAGGAAUACCAGUGGCGAAGGCGGCCUUCUGGACUGACACUGACGCUGAGGUGCGAUAGCGUGGGUAGCAAACAGGAUUAGAUACCCCGGUAGUC